UACGUAAGGGGCAAGCGUUAUCCGGAUUUACUGGGUGUAAAGGGAGCGUAGACGGUGAGGCAAGUCUGAUGUGAAAACCCGGGGCUCAACUCCGGGAUUGCAUUGGAAACUGUCUGACUUGAGUACUGGAGGGGUAAGCGGAAUUCCUGGUGUAGCGGUGAAAUGCGUAGAUAUCAGGAGGAACACCGGUGGCGAAGGCGGCUUACUGGACAGUAACUGACGUUGAGGCUCGAAAGCGUGGGGAGCAAACAGGAUUAGAUACCCCGGUAGUCCCUGAGCGGG
rnacentral:rRNA from 1 species